rnacentral:lncRNA from 1 species
CACAGGGGUACCAGAUAGUGAACUGUGUUCUACUAUAGAAAAUUAGAAAUCAUCCUCCAAUUCCUUGAUUACAUAACCGUUCAAUGUAACAGUGCUGCCAACAUCCUUCCUCUUAAUGUCUUCACUGCCAGCAGUCUGAGCAUCAUCGUACUCCACAAAAACAUCCUCCACUGACAUUAGAAAUGAACCAGGCAAAUUUAGAACCUGUUCACAGAUCUCAGAUCCUUUAGAAAUGUCAGACAUUCUUGCUAAUUAAUAGAGCAAUACAGAACCUUGCAAGAAACUUACAAGAAGAUAACGAGAACAAAUACUUGGUUAAAACUACAAGCAAUAGUUACCUUCAACAUCUUUUUACCAUGAAGAGAACAAGGAAACAUACAUUUUCGGUUUGCCAAAAUAAGUAGCCAUUUUGGUAUAAGUAGACCACUUCUAAAAUUAAG